rnacentral:rRNA from 1 species
UACGUAGGGGGCAAGCGUUGUCCGGAAUCAUUGGGCGUAAAGCGCACGUAGGCGGCUUUGUAAGUAAGAGGUGAAAGCCCGGAGCUCAACUCCGGAACUGCCUUUUAGACUGCAUCGCUUGAAUCCAGGAGAGGUGAGUGGAAUUCCGAGUGUAGAGGUGAAAUUCGUAGAUAUUCGGAAGAACACCAGUGGCGAAGGCGGCUCACUGGACUGGUAUUGACGCUGAGGUGCGAAAGCGUGGGGAGCAAACAGG